AUCUUAGGUUUUUGAAUGACCAACAAUUUAACAUAUUCCAUGCUAUCAUCUGUCUUCCUGGCUUUUUCCUAGGAAUUAGUUUGCUCUUAAAGUCAAUGCAGAUUAUGUUUUAUAGCCAGAGGCAAAGGAUUAAAAAAUAAUGUUAUGUCAUCUUAUUAUAGGAAAAAAAGUUCUUAAGGGCUAUGACUAGUUUUUGUGACUCGAUGUCCAGAUAUAUGUCAAUAGUAUGUGGCAAAAGAUAUUUUCAAAAGCUUUUGGAAGUUUAAAGUAUGUCUUCUCAAGAUAGUGAACGUAUGGUUCAGUGAUAGGAAUUUAUUGGUCAGUUGAUCUUGUCUGUAUCUGGUUGCUUUGAUCGAAAACAGAACUGACAGAAUUGUCAAUGUGAGUGGAAAUGUACUUAAAUGACAGCUCUCUCCUUGAACAUUGAAGGUUUGGCCUUUAAGCACUGAUCUGUUAUCAGGUUGAUAAGCCUAACUAUGAAGUCUGUUUGGUAAUUUAGCUUUAGAAGGUCUUAUGUCUUAUGUUACGUAUGUGGUCCAGAUAUGGAAGCAAACCUAUGGAGGGGCUAUUUUUUUAAAUUAUUUUUGCUACUUCCUAAGUAGAAUUUUUAUUCAUUACAGUUAGCCUUUGUAAUUUUUUGAAUUACAGUAGUCUUUAAAUUUUUCACUAUGAGAUUUUAAGGUUUUAAGUAACCCUUUAAUAUUUAUCACUUAGCUUAAUAAUACCACUUAGCUGCCUCAUCAUAGUUUUUUUCUCUAAUGUUACUUUAAUUUUUAUUCUUUGAAGUAUUUUAAACAUUUUUAUUAUGGCUUAUAGAACUACUGAAUUAUUCAGACAUGUGUUUUUAAGUUUCAAAUAUGUGAAGUUUUUAUGUUUUCUUGUUACUGGCUUAUUCUCCUUUUAUGUUUUCAAUAUUAUCUCUUGUAAUUAUCCCCAUUCUCAUCUGUACUGUACAUAAUUUUCUUAGGUACUUUCUGAACUCCCUUUUAAGCAUAUACAUAUUUGUUCUAGUUUGUUUUCUAUUUCAAAAGAGCAAACAAAACUUUUGACCCCACAUUACCCUUUGUACAAAUCAUUUUUUAGUUCUCGUUUACAGUGUCAAUUUUUGAAGAUGCCCUUAGAGUUGCUGUUUCCACUUUGUCACCUCCCAUUCUUGUAACCCCUUUCAGCCAGGCUGCAGUCCCCACAGUUCUCCUGCAAUUUUUUUUUUUUUUUUUUUUUUUUUUUUUUUUUGCUUUAGGUACUGAGUUCUGAUUAUUGAGUGGAUAAACUUUAAUGAUUGUUGUAUCCUUUGGAUGAAUUGACCCCUUUAUUAUUAUGAAAUGAUCUUCUACUUGAUAAUAUUCUUUGCUGUGAGAUCUAUCCUAGCUGAUAUUCAUAUAUCCAUUCUAGUUUUCUUUUGAUUAAUGUUAGUAUGAUAUUCUUCUAUCUUCAUACUUUUAGUCUAUUGUUGUCUUUGCAUUUAAAGAUUGUUUCUUAUAAGAAUGGAUCUCAUUUUUUUUAUCCAAUAUGCUAAGCUCUUCCUCUAAAUUAGUUGGUUAAGGUCAUUCAUGUUUCAUGUGAUUAAACACAUGAUUAGAUUUAAAUCUAUUGUCAGCUUUAAUGUCAUUUCUGCUGAUUAUAAUGUACUCUGUUCUACAUUGGUUUUGAUUUAUUGAAUUUUCUGAUUAUGAAUUGUGUUUUCCUGCUUCUUUGCAUGACUGAUAUUUUUUUGAUUGAGUAUCAGACAUUUUGCAUUUUUACCUUCUUGGGUGCUGGGUAUUUGUACAUUUCUAUAAAUAUUCUUGAUAUUUGUCUUUGGAUAAAGUUAAGUUUGGUCUUUUUGAGUCUUCUUUUUCAUAUUUGUAGGUGGAACAAGAGUGAUGUUUAACCUAGGGUUAAUUGUCCUCUACCAUGAGGAGGGACCCUUCUGUGUACUCUACCCAGUGCCCCACGAAUUAUGAUGCUUUCCAGUAUUACUGGAAGGGACAGACGCUAUCUCCUGUGUGAGUAUUAUGUACUCCUUCUUACUCUCUGAAGGUCCUUUUCCUUGACUCUGGUAGUAACCUUAUAUGAAUAGACUGACCAGUCUUUUGAGGAAUACUCUAGGUAGAGGCUGUACAUUUCUUAGAGUUUUCUCCCUGUGUACUUCUGUAACCCUGUCGUGCACAUUCUAGCUGCUUUUAUUUCUUUAAGUUCCCACCAAGGUCACCCUAACUCAGCACAUCUUCCUGACUGUGCCUGGGUUUCCUUUCCCAGUGGAAGCCCAGGAAACUCUCAAAGCAGUAAACUAGGAUGUAUACCUGUUAACUCCUGCCUCCCAAUCUCAAGGAUCAUGGUAUUUCAUUGCCUGUCAUCCAGCUUCUUGAAAUUCCUUGGUUCACGUAUUUUAUCUUUUUUUUUUUUUAUUAUUAUUAUCAUUCACUUCUGGUAGGUAAGCAAGUCUAGUCCACAUUACUCUUGACCAGAAAGCAAAACUCAAAAUCCUUUUUGAGUUUUCAUUAGUAUAACUGCUUUCUCAGAAUGAAUUCUCCCAUGUGUGGAAUGGAUUGACUGUCUUUUGAGUAUUGAACUUACUUGUACUUGAGAAAUCUUGUUUUGUGCUCAUCUUUUGAGUGCUGUUUUCCUUUAUAGGCCCUUCCAGUGAGUUAAAUUUGAGCUUUGUGUUGUUAGUUGGACAGACUCAAUUUGUAUCAGUGCUUUGACUUGUGGUUUUGCCCAGUCAAAGACAGCCUCCAACACAGAAAAAAUAUAAGUCUGUUUCAAAUCAGACUCACUACAUCCUGACCACAGUGAUCAACUGAUUUUUGUUAGGUGGGCGAGGAGUGGAGAAGUGGGUACUAUUCCUAUCUUCAUUCAGAUAACUCAUUUUUAGUUCCUGCCUUGGGGGCCAAAAUGGGCAUAUUCCUGAUAGCCUCUCCAUAAUGCCUGCAGUCCUGUCUUCCCCGUGAGCUACUACUGAUUUCAGCCUCUGCCUAGUCCUCUGAGUUUCCUAUUCAUUUCUGAUUUAUGGAGAUUUUCUUUACUUGGAUCUUUGAAAUAUGACAUGUUUUCUAUUAAGUUUGUGUUUUGAGAGCAGAAAGGGAGAGGGUUCCAUUCAUGUUUAGUCUACUAUUUCACU
rnacentral:lncRNA from 1 species